rnacentral:rRNA from 1 species
GCUGUUAAGGGUUCGUAGUUGAAUGCGGAGUAAAGGGAUACUUGUUCGCAAGACCUCCCUGCUCUGUUUAGACGGGAUUGGAUGCCAUGCGGAAGACACUAUUAAUUUAGUGUUGGAAGCGCCUACCGAAGAGGUAAGCACUACGCAUGCAACGCAUGCACUUGGCCGCCCGUCGUUUUACUGUGAGUAAAACAGCGUGUUCAAGGCAGCCUUCGGCUGAAUGACAAAGCAUGGAAUACAGGGUGGGUUAAUCUUUUGUUGGUUUUUAAGAUCCAUUUGGAUAAUUUGUGGGCAAGUGAUUCAUGCAUUCCUCUGGCUUGCCUUUGGUUUGCACUGGACCGUUGCCGAACACGGGUUAAUGGGGGUUGUCGGGGGAAAACGUAUCGGAGCGUGAGAGGUGAAAUUCUUAGACCGCUCUGGGCGAACUUAUGCGAAGGCAUUUUCCAAGUAUACCUUCAUCAAUCAAGAACUAAGUG